SUACGUGCCAGCAGCCGCGGUAAUACGUAGGGCGCGAGCGUUGUCCGGAAUUAUUGGGCGUAAAGAGCUUGUAGGCGGUUGGUCGCGUCUGCUGUGAAAGGCCGGGGCUUAACUCCGGUUUUGCAGUGGGUACGGGCUAACUAGAGUGCAGUAGGGGAGACUGGAAUUCCUGGUGUAGCGGUGGAAUGCACAGAUAUCAGGAGGAACACCGAUGGCGAAGGCAGGUCUCUGGGCUGUAACUGACGCUGAGAAGCGAAAGCAUGGGGAGCGAACAGGAUUAGAUACCCUGGUAGUCCAUGCCGUAAACGUUGGGCACUAGGUGUGGGGGACAUUCCACGUUUUCCGCGCCGUAGCUAACGCAUUAAGUGCCCCGCCUGGGGAGUACGGCCGCAAGGCUAAAACUCAAAGGAAUUGACGGGGGCCCGCACAAGCGGCGGAGCAUGCGGAUUAAUUCGAUGCAACGCGAAGAACCUUACCAAGGCUUGACAUGC
rnacentral:rRNA from 1 species